GACGAACGCUGGCGGCGUGCUUAACACAUGCAAGUCGAACGGAAAGGCCCCUUUGGGGGUCCUCGAGUGGCGAACGGGUGCGUAACACGUGAGUAACCUGCCCUUGACUUCGGGAUAACUUCAGGAAACUGGGGCUAAUACCGGAUAGGAAUCCUUGCUGCAUGGUGGGGGUUGGAAAGCUUCGGCGGUUUUGGAUGGACUCGCGGCUUAUCAGCUUGUUGGUGGGGCAGUGGCUUACCAAGGCUUUGACGGGUAGCCGGCCUGAGAGGGCGACCGGCCACAUUGGGACUGAGAUACGGCCCAGACUCCUACGGGAGGCAGCAGUGGGGAAUAUUGCACAAUGGGCGGAAGCCUGAUGCAGCAACGCCGCGUGCGGGAUGACGGCCUUCGGGUUGUAAACCGCUUUCAGCAGGGGCGAAGCUUGUGGUGACGGUACCUGCAGAAGAAGCACCGGCUAACUACGUG
rnacentral:rRNA from 1 species